rnacentral:rRNA from 1 species
CCUACGGGUGGCAGCAGUGAGGAAUAUUGGUCAAUGGUCGGGAGACUGAACCAGCCAAGUCGCGUGAGGGAGGAAGGUCCAGUGUAUUGUAAACCUCUUUUGCCGGGGAACAAACACCGGUACGUGUCCCCCGUCGAGUGUACCCGAAGAAAAAGCAUCGGCUAACUCCGUGCCAGCAGCCGCGGUAAUACGGGGGAUGCGAGCGUUAUCCGGAUUUAUUGGGUUUAAAGGGUGCGCAGGCGGCCUGUUAAGUCAGCGGUAAAAUCUCGGGGCUCAACCCCGGCGAGCCGUUGAAACUGGCAGGCGAGAGUGGGAGAGAAGUAUGCGGAAUGCGUGGUGUAGCGGUGAAAUGCAUAGAUAUCGCGCAGAACUCCGAUUGCGAAGGCAGCAUGCCGGCUCCAAACUGACGCUGAGGCACGAAAGCGUGGGUAUCGAACAGGAUUAGAUACCCGGGUAGUC